CUGCCACAACGGCUUCCUGGCGUGGCGGAAUACACAUAAUGGAGCG
rnacentral:ncRNA from 1 species